UACGUAGGGUGCAAGCGUUAAUCGGAAUUACUGGGCGUAAAGCGUGCGCAGGCGGUUGUGCAAGACAGAUGUGAAAUCCCCGGGCUUAACCUGGGAAUGGCAUUUGUGACUGCACGGCUAGAGUGUGUCAGAGGGGGGUAGAAUUCCACGUGUAGCAGUGAAAUGCGUAGACAUGUGGAGGAAUACCGAUGGCGAAGGCAGCCCCCUGGGAUAACACUGACGCUCAUGCACGAAAGCGUGGGGAGCAAACAGG
rnacentral:rRNA from 1 species